rnacentral:lncRNA from 1 species
AAUCAAAUAGACAACAUAGAUUGAGAUAAAGGUGGCUGCUCGCCUACCCUUAUGCGAGAUGGUCGAAAACCUCAUGAUCCACCAUUCGUAUGGAAUCAAAUAGACAAUAUAGAUUGAGAUAAAGGUGGCUGCUCGCCUACCCUUAUGCGAGAUGGUCAAAACCUCAUGAUCCGACAUUCGCAUGGAAUAAAAUAAACAAUAUAGAUUGAGAUAAAGGUGGCUGCUCACUUACCCUUAUGCGAUAUGGUCGAAAACCUCAUAAUCCACCAUUCGCUGGAAUGAAAUAGACAAUAUAGAUUGAGAUAAAUGUGGCUGCUCUCCUACCCUUAUGCGAUAUGGUCGAAAACCUCAUGAUCCACCAUUCGCUGGAAUCAAAUAGACAACAUAGAUUGAGAUGAAGGUAGCUGCUCGCCUACCCUUAUGCGAGAUGGUCGAAAACCUCAUGAUCCACCAUUCGCAUGGAAUCAAAUAGACAAUAUAGAUUGAGAUAAAGGUGGCUGCUCGCCUACCCUUAUGCGAGAUGGUCAAAACCUCAUGAUCCGA